rnacentral:rRNA from 1 species
UACGUAGGUGGCAAGCGUUGUCCGGAAUUAUUGGGCGUAAAGCGCGCGCAGGCGGUCCUUUAAGUCUGAUGUGAAAGCCCACGGCUCAACCGUGGAGGGUCAUUGGAAACUGGGGGACUUGAGUGCAGAAGAGGAAAGCGGAAUUCCACGUGUAGCGGUGAAAUGGCGUAGAGAUGUGGAGGAACACCAGUGGCGAAGGCGGCUUUCUGGUCUGUAACUGACGCUGAGGCGCGAAAGCGUGGGGAGCAAACAGG